rnacentral:rRNA from 1 species
UCACACAGCUCCUUUAAAAAAGAAAACAAUCCCCUCUAGCGGAUAACUCAUCAACUCUCCCUAAACUGUGGGCCUUCAAGCAGCCAUCAAUAAAGAGUGCGUCACAGCUCUACAUCAAAAAAUCCAAUAAUAAAAUGACUCCCUUCUCACUAACAGGCUAACCUAUACUUAUAGGAGAAUUAAUGCUAAAAUGAGUAACUAGGGAUUUCCCUCUUAAGCGUAAACUUACAUUUUUCCCCCAACAUUAUUAACAGAUUAUAAACCAAUAUCCUAACUUCAACAAGAUUAAAAUAUUGAGUCCCACCCUGUUAACCCAACCCAGGUGCGCUUAUUAGAAAGAUUAAAAUCUGUAAAAGGAACUAGGCAAACUCAAGGCCCGACUGUUUACCAAAAACAUAGCCUUCAGCUAACCAAGUAUUGAAGGUGAUGCCUGCCCAGUGACACAAUGUUUAACGGCCGCGGUAUCCUAACCGUGCGAAGGUAGCGCAAUCAAUUGUCCCAUAAAUCGAGACUUGUAUGAAUGGCUUAACGAGGUCUUAACUGUCUCUUACAGAUAAUCAGUGAAAUUGAUCUCCCUGUCCAAAAGCAGGGAUACACUCAUAAGACGAGAAGACCCUGUGGAACUUAAAAAUCAACAGCCACUGCUCACAAAACAAAACCUAGCAGGCUUACUACCCCAUAAUGCUGGCUGAUAUUUUUCGGUUGGGGCGACCUUGGAGAAAAACAAAUCCUCCAAAAAUAAGACCACACUUCUUAACCAAGAGCAACUCCUCAACGUACUAAUAGUAACCAGACCCAAUAUAAUUGAUAAAUGAACCAAGCUACCCCAGGGAUAACAGCGCAAUCUCCUCUAAGAGCCCACAUCGACGAGGAGGUAUACGACCUCGAUG